CCUACGGGAGGCAGCAGUGAGGAAUAUUGGUCAAUGGACGAGAGUCUGAACCAGCCAAGUAGCGUGAAGGAUGACUGCCCUAUGGGUUGUAAACUUCUUUUAUAAGGGAAUAAAACGAGGCACGUGUGCCGUUUUGCAUGUACUUUAUGAAUAAGGAUCGGCUAACUCCGUGCCAGCAGCCGCGGUAAUACGGAGGAUCCGAGCGUUAUCCGGAUUUAUUGGGUUUAAAGGGAGCGUAGAUGGGUUUUUAAGUCAGUUGUGAAAGUUUGCGGCUCAACCGUAAAAUGGCAAUUGAUACUGGCAGUCUUGAGUACAGUUGAGGGAGGCGGAAUUCGUGGUGUAGCGGUGAAAUGCUUAGAUAUCACGAAGAACCCCGAUUGCGAAGGCAGCCUACUAACCCGUGACUGACACUGAUGCUCGAAAGUGUGGGUAUCAAACAGGAUUAGAUACCCCGGUAGUC
rnacentral:rRNA from 1 species